rnacentral:tRNA from 1 species
UCCGCCGCUGACGCGUGGUGAGUCCGUCGUCCGGAACGACGGACGGCUGUCCCUGUGGCAUUUACGCGGCCUUUCUGUCGGACCCGGCGGACC